rnacentral:rRNA from 1 species
AUUGAACGCUGGCGGCAUGCCUAACACAUGCAAGUCGAGCGGAGCGGCGGACGCGUGCGUAUGGCUUAUGAAUCUGCCUGGUAGUGGGGGCUAACGUCCGGUAACGGGCGCUAUUACCGCUUACUCUCAGAUGAGCCUCGGCCGGAUUAGAUAGUUGGUGGGGUAAAGGACAACCAUGGCGACGAUGCUUAACGGGACUGAGUGGUUGAUCAGUCACAGUGGGACUGAGACACGGAACAGACUCCUACGUGAGGCAGCAGGGGGGAAGAUUGGACAAUGGGGGAAAGCCUGAUCCAGCAAUACCGCGUGUGUGAAGAAGGGCUUCGGUUUGUAAAGCACUUUGAGUUGUGAAGCGUUGCCGACAGAAUAAGCACCGGCUAACUACGUGCCAGCGGCGGCGGUAAUUC